UUUCAUAUUAUGCUUAUCUUAAACUUUCCAUCUUGUUGUGAAUUGAAAAAUAAAUAAUCCCUUACACUAUAGCAGUUGUAACUGUUCGUAGAAGUCUCUCAAUUAUUACAAGCACACGUGUAAAGCUGUUGCCAUCAACUUCUGCCGAAGGUAAUACAUCCUGCAUAGUACAAGCACUGUGCGCUACUGUACUUGAAUACUAGAGGGGGGGGAACACAUUCCCAGCCCAUGCUUGUGUAUAUUUCCUCACAUAGGCAAGUAAGUUCGGGCACCGGGCACUAGGCGCUACGCAUUGGGUGCAAAGUAAAUAAAUCAGAAGUAUAAUAUGACUCCACAGACAAUUUGCUAGCCGCUGUUUCAUUGAGUAAGUACUUUAUUUUUAACUUUUUUAUCUAAUCACUAAUUAUGUUAUUUCUUUCAUAAAAUUGAACGCAAAAUCUCGUGAUAACAAUGACUGAGCAAAUUAUUAAUUUAUAUUUGCCCUUUGGAACGUGAAUCAGCGGUACGUGCAAUCUCAGUACAGCUUGCAUCACCUGCCAGGGCAAAGAUUGCGCCACAUACUAAAACCACUUUAACUUAGACCCCGUGUCCAUGUGGUUUCGGUUUCCAUUUGCGGGUCAGAAAAGUAUUAUUUUAGUUAAAAAUAUAAUUGAUGUAUAAUAAUUUAUGAAAUCAUUAUUAAGUAAUUUAAUAUUGUACAAGCAUCGGAGGUAACACGGCUACGCGGCACUCAUUAUACAAAACUGAAAAAGGCAUACAAAGAUCAAAUUAAUUGAAAUUGUCUACCUAUCUACAUCAUGAAAAUACAUCGAUGGUAUGUACAUAGACAUAUACAUAUUGGAAUUGGAAUAAUAAAUAUACCUACGCCUUACGGACUACGUGAUACGACCUACGAGCUACGCGCUACGCGCUACGAGCUACGCGCUACGAGCUACAGGCCUCGUGGUGCGCCAUACGAAUUACGCGCUAUUGUCAGUUAAUAAUAAAGUAAUUUUGUUGAAAUCACCCCCUAUUACAUGGAACUUAUAACACAAAUGGUGAAAAGUGGGUGUAUAAAAUUUAUUUCGUUACAAGUGCGUUGCCGGCCUUUUGGGGGUCAAAAUUUGUACCUAUGUUUAAAAAUAAAUGAUGUAGCCCCUAGGCUGUAGUCAAUAUUUGAACGAAGCUAUAAUCAUGGGAGACGGCAAAGCAACAACCGCUAGUUCCCUGUAACUAAUAAAAUGUUAACUACUUUGGAAAGUAAACUAAGCUACAUCAAUUUUAUUGUAAAAUAGAUUGAUAGAACAAGGGAGGAGCGAGUGUAACAUAGUAUAUUGUACAGCAGUCGGACUUUGAGCCCGGUCCGCCAGUCACCGUGACCAGCCAGCAUGCAACGACCUUCGAGCGAUGACGUUUGACGAUUUAGUUUGUUCAUGCUUUGCCCUGACGAUGUAUUGCCGCCAAGAACUACGCACAUGGACCUACAUGACCUGCGCCCCGCCUGGUGCCUGCUGUCCACGGGGUCUCCCGGUCCGUGCUCCGUUGGCGCCGCAAUAUUUUUCCUCAUCAGUCGUCUUUGGACGUUGCAUCACACACUUGUUUCGUUUCCCAGAAUCAAGUUCCGAAGGUUAAUUAUUUGUUGUUGUAAAAAGUGCUAGCUCAGUGUUACAGUGCGAUUUAUUUUUAUUUCAUUACUUUACCUGGUACUAUCUCUCGCGCGAGAUAUUGGAAUUCAACCUACUAGAUAAUACAAUCGAUAAUAUGUAAUAAUGAGUUGAUUAUUAUUUUAAAAAUAACAUCAGCUCCGCGAUAUUGAGUGCAGAUAAGAGUAUUAAGACUGAACAGUACAAAAUAUAACAAACAAGAGCACGCGGCAGUGCUCGCGCGGACACACAGACACUCGGAGCUAUUUAUAUUGUGGUGUACGUGCGCUGUGCAGUGUACGGGUCCUGGCUGGUUCGUGUCCCAUGUGCCGUCUACUGUAGAAUCAAUCUAGACAAUCAACUCCAUCACUGCGCAUGUUGUAAAUAUUUGGUGACAAGUGCCUGGCACGGGGUCUCGGCUCUCGAAAAUGCAAGACAGUUCCUCCAUCAGCGCAGCAGCAAUAGUAUCACAAGCAGUGCGCCGCACCGCGCGCCCCCAAAUGCGCCCCCGCCCCCUGCGCCCCCGCCCCGUGCUGCCUCCUGGUCCCGCUGCAUUGCCUCAGCUCGAUCGUCUGCAAAUAAGUAUAAGUACUCAGUAUUUAAUUUAAUACACGAUUACUUUUGUUUUUUUAUUUUUUUUACUUUUCAUCAUCAAUUCAAAGAUUCAAUCAAAUGAAUUGGGAGCGUGGGGAUGAGGGUAAUAAAAUACGUGUUGUCAUAUACAAAGUGAAAGUGCUCCAUGUUUCGUCUGUCGGCAUGCAAUGUUAAAUAUCUUGAACCUCGUCGUCAUCGUCAUUCUUCUUUUCUGCGCUGAACAUUUGGAAUUUCUAAACUUUUACAAAGUAAGUAUACAAUUAUAUAAACUUUAACGUUCUAAUGCGAUUCUAUUAUUUACUACUAUUUCAGCACGAGUUAAUCUCGUUUCCAACCGUUUUGUAACGUAAUUGACAAAUACAUAAUUGCACACAUUACUAGGCAUCUUGGAAGUCUCUUCAUAUUAAGUAUGACGGUAUGUAUAUAAUCGUGCAUCGUCAUCUAAUUUAGAUAAACGUAUGUAAAAGAUAUUAAAACUUCUCUACAUCUCCGAUAUCAGGGAACGUCACAAAGAGGUAAUAUGUUAUCCUACUACUGUAGGUACAAUUAGAUACAUGAUAUAAUUGAUAGCACAAGUAGUGAGACGUUUGUAAGUACUCGUAUAUGUACUUAUACUUAGGUAUUGUAGAGAGGUGUUAAUAUCUACAUCUAUACAUAGUAUAAAACAAAGUCGCCCAUUUUGUCUGUAGUCCCUUCGUAUGCAUAAAACUUUAAAACUACGCAACGGAUUUUGAUGCGGUUUUCACUAAUAGAAAGAGUAUUUUCUCCGACAGGUUUUUAUAUAUAAUUGAAAUACAUUAAAACUAUAUUAGCUGAGUUAUAGCGAUUUAUGUCCAAGAAGUCAGAAAAAAAUCUAAUUGAAGAUUGCAUUUGUGCGUGCGCCGCUUAUACCGUUGGAUACAAGUAAGAACAAUGUAUAGCAAAAACAUUGGUCUUUAUUAGUUCUACAAAAAAGUCCGCGAUGACAUAUAUCCAGCUUUUUUAUUUAAGUCACAAAAACUACUUUUCUGUAUUAAAAAAACAUUUAAUUCGUUGGGUGAUGUUUAACUGGUGAUAUAACCAAUAAUACAUAUAUCCUUAUCAUAAUAAGUAAGUUCAUCAUCACGAGCAUUUAAUUUAGAUUAUUUUUGCAGUUUACAGUGUGUUAUUUAGACAUAUAGUUUAGGAGAUAUCACGAUAUUAGUAUUGCGGCACGGUACGGGCCGGCCGCGGCGGCGGGGGCAGCGUCCCUAUAAAUAGCGCGUCGGCGGCAGCGGCUCCCCAUUAGCACUUUGAAAUUGGAAGCGAUCGGACGCGUUUAUUUAUCGCAGCUCUUUGAGAAAAAUAAAACGUGCUUUUCAGCGCGACAACAAUAAUUGUAUGAUAA